GCUUAUCACCAUUCCAGAUUGAAUAUACCCGAUCUCGUCUGAUCUCGGAAGUCAAGCAAUCUCAGGCUUGGUUAGUACUUGGAUGGGUGACCGCUUGGGAAUACCAAGUGUGAUAAGCA
rfam:Ciona savignyi cont_29477, whole genome shotgun sequence.